AGAUUUAGUUUGUUGACAUAACCACAGAUAAAGGAAAACAGGUAAAAGCAGAAAAAAUCUCCUAUGAAAAAACCUUCUAUGUGCUGCCCGGGAACAUAGCCCCGCACGCUACACCACUGCCUGGGGGAUUGCAGGAUGUUGACAUGGCGUAGCCUGAAUAAUUUGUUUUAAAUAUGGACUAGCGAGUGCAAGAAGAUUCUUGUGAACUUUAACAAGAUGACCAUCUGCAACCAGCGUCAUGUCCACAAACUCUUCAUUCUAAAAUAAAAAAAUAUAUAUUUUGAA